rnacentral:rRNA from 1 species
GAUGAACGCUGGCGGCGUGCCUAAUACAUGCAAGUCGAGCGAACAGACGAGGAGCUUGCUCCUCUGACGUUAGCGGCAGACGGGUGUGUAACACGUGGAUAACCUCCUUAUAAGACUGGGAUAAUUUCGGGAAACCGGCGCUAAUAGCGGAUAAUAUCUUGAUCCGCAUGGUUCGAUAGUGAAAGACGGCGUUGCUGUCUCUUCUAGCUGGUUCCGCGCCGCUUUAGCUAGUUGGUAAGGUAACGGCUUACCACGGCGACGAUGCGUAGCCGACCUGAGAGGGUGAUCGCCCGCACUGGAGCUUGACCGCCGACCAUACUCCUACGGGACGCAGCAGUCUGCUAUCUUCCGCAACAGUCGAGAGCCUGACAGAGCGACGGCACGUGUGUUAUGAAGGUCUCCGGAUCGUAAUACUCUGUUUUUAGGUGAGAACCAAUGUGGAAUUUACUGUGCACGGCUUGACGGUACCUAAUCAGAAAGCCCCGGCUAACUACGUG